rnacentral:rRNA from 1 species
AACGAACGCUGGCGGCAUGCCUAACACAUGCAAGUCGAACGAAGUCUUCGGACUUAGUGGCGCACGGGUGCGUAACGCGUGGGAAUCUGCCCUUGGGUACGGAAUAACUCAGAGAAAUUUGUGCUAAUACCGUAUAAUGACUUCGGUCCAAAGAUUUAUCGCCCAAGGAUGAGCCCGCGUAAGAUUAGCUAGUUGGUGGGGUAAAAGCCUACCAAGGCGACGAUCUUUAGCUGGUCUGAGAGGAUGAUCAGCCACACUGGGACUGAGACACGGCCCAGACUCCUACGGGAGGCAGCAGUGGGGAAUAUUGGACAAUGGGCGAAAGCCUGAUCCAGCAAUGCCGCGUGAGUGAUGAAGGCCCUAGGGUUGUAAAGCUCUUUUACCCGGGAUGAUAAUGACAGUACCGGGAGAAUAAGCUCCGGCUAACUCCGUGCCAGCCGCCGCGGUAAAAC